GACGAACGCUGGCGGCGUGCUUAACACAUGCAAGUCGAGCGGAAAGGCCCUGCUUUUGUGGGGUGCUCGAGUGGCGAACGGGUGAGUAACACGUGAGUAACCUGCCCUUGACUUUGGGUUAACUUCAGGAAACUGGGGCUAAUACCGGAUAGGAGCUCCUGCUGCAUGGUGGGGGUUGGAAAGUUUCGGCGGUUGGGGAUGGACUCGCGGCUUAUCAGCUUGUUGGUGGGGUAGUGGCUUACCAAGGCUUUGACGGGUAGCCGGCCUGAGAGGGUGACCGGCCACAUUGGGACUGAGAUACGGCCCAGACUCCUACGGGAGGCAGCAGUGGGGAAUAUUGCACAAUGGGCGGAAGCCUGAUGCAGCAACGCCGCGUGCGGGAUGACGGCCUUCGGGUUGUAAACCGCUUUCGCCUGUGACGAAGCGUGAGUGACGGUAAUGGGUAAAGAAGCACCGGCUAACUACGUG
rnacentral:rRNA from 1 species